CUCAGGACGAACGCUGGCGGCGUGCCUAACACAUGCAAGUCGAACGGAGAUUUUAUGGAAUGCGACUUCGGUCAAAUGAAAUUUAAUCUUAGCGGCGGACGGGUGAGUAACGCGUGAGUAACCUGCCCAUGAGAGGGGAAUAACACAGCGAAAGUUGUGCUAAUACCGCAUAACAUGUUUCUACCGCAUGAUAGAAACAUCAAAGAUUUAUCGCUCAUGGAUGGACUCGCGUCUGAUUAGAUAGUUGGUGGGGUAACGGCCUACCAAGUCGACGAUCAGUAGCCGAACUGAGAGGUUGAUCGGCCACAUUGGGACUGAGACACGGCCCAGACUCCUACGGGAGGCAGCAGUGGGGGAUAUUGCACAAUGGGGGAAACCCUGAUGCAGCAACGCCGCGUGAAGGAAGAAGGUCUUCGGAUUGUAAACUUUUGUCUUUAGGGAAGAAGAAAGUGACGGUACCUAAGGAGGAAGCCACGGCUAACUACGUG
rnacentral:rRNA from 1 species